UGUUUUAGUGCUAUUUCUUGUGGUUGUGAGUCAUGUAAAUGACGUUAUGUUACACACCUUUAUAUUACUUCAGUAUGUAAACUAGAAAAACGUGGAGUUACUGUGUUUGUUGCCAAAUCCGAUUUCUUUCUAAACAAUCUAAUUUUGCACUGAGGGGUGCGGGUGUAAAUCUAAAUGUUGUGUCUGCAAUCCCAUGGCCCUUCAAGGUUUUCAAGUCUCAAGAGAGAUUUUAGAAACACCUGAACUUUUCCACACCUGUCCAUUAGCAGGAACUAACUCCCGGUAGAGGACAUCAGAAGAUUCAAGUAGAAUUUCUUGGUUAUCUUAGUUUAGAUUAACGUAUCAUUCUCUGUGUAAAAUGGCUGCCAUAGCUCUGUCAGAAUCAUGCCUUUUAUGUACAAGUACAUCUGGUACACCAGAGAAAACAUGUUGACCUGUUCCAAUACAAUACACUGCCCCUAGUGGACGACUGUGGUAUUUUUUUUGGGGGGGGGGCAGGUUAAUGCUUACACCCAGGUGUGCCUGAUGUACUAAGAGAUUAGCCAACACGAAUGAUACAUUCACAUAACUAUAAUGAUCCACACCCAUUCCAGGUGUAUCUGAAAUGCUCAGCGUGAUAUGUGGGUGGCUAGUCAAAGCUCUGAACAGCAGCAUUGAUACACUGUGAAUUUUAAACAGACUACAGGUAAAUAGCACUUGCAAAGCUGUCCAAUUAGUUCACACUUUGACAUGUAUUUUGUGUAUGCAGUUAUGUUUCCAGCAUUUAAUAGCCUAUAUGCUGUGUAUAUUAAGUUAAAAUAUAGGUUAACCCUUUCAGUCCUGAAUUCUUUUUUUGUCGAGCUGAAGAAUGCCAAAUUAAGUUAUAUAAUUUAAAAAAGGCACUCUUAUAUUGAGUAUACAGUACAGGACAAAAAAUGUUACAUAUAUCUAAACCCCACAUAUCAGAAAGUAACUUGUGUAAUUACAGUGGAGGAAUUUUUGGCCUGAAAUGUCAAAGCAUGUUUGCACUCGCUUGUAUAACAAUACAGCUGAUCUCAUGUUUUUCUUAUUUGCUUUUUAGUCGCUUCUCAACGAUUCUUUCCUUCACACAGGCGCUAAGAUAAGACAGGACUCUGAGGUCCCGCCAGGACUGGAAGGGUUAAAGAGAAACCAGACUUGUUAUGGAUUUUAAAAUGUUGAUGAUAAUGUAUUUGCACUUACUCAGGAGAGACAAAGACGAACACAUGCGUCCUCCGAAACGUGUGCCGUCAGCUGUCCGCUUCUUUUCACACUGCAGCCCCGUCAUGCAGCUACCUCAGAGCUGCAAUGUCGGAGGACCACGCAGCUCUGGGCUGCUUGUAGGGAGGCCUGCAGGUACCUGGACAGUCUACAGGGGUUGCUGUUGCGCGGUGAGCUGAGGACACCCUGGCCGACUUAAGCCCUCCCUACCUGAGCGGCACUCGGCCAAUUGUAUGCCGACCCCUGGGAACUCCCAUCCACGGCCGGCAGUGGAAUAUCCUGGACUUGAACCGGUGACCUCCAGGCUAUAGGGCGUAUCCUGCACGCCAUGUGGAGUGCCUUUACCGGAUGCGCCAUUCGGGAGCCCUGUUUUGGUUUGUUUGAUUGAACAUUUUCUUAACUGGAUUGAGAUGAGCUGUGGAUUCCUGGUUCCUGUGUGGCUCUGCUUGUACCAGGGUUUUUCAGAGGGGUCCUGGUUCCUGGUUCCUGUGUGGCUCUGCUUGUACCAGGGUUUUUCAGAGGGGUCCUGGUUCCUGGUUCCUGUGUGGCUCUGCUUGUACCAGGGUUUUUCAGAGGGGUCCUGGUUCCUGUGUGGCUCUGCUUGUACCAGGGUUUUUCAGAGGGGUCCUGGUUCCUGGUUCCUGUGUGGCUCUGCUUGUACCAGGGUUUUUCAGAGAGGUCCUGGUUCCUGGUUCCUGUGUGGCUCUGCUUGUACCAGGGUUUUUCAGAGGGGUCCUGGUUCCUGUGUGGCUCUGCUUGUACCAGGGUUUUUCAGAGGGGUCGGAACUGCCUAACAUCACAGCACAGGGCAGUCAGUAAAGUGCUUUAAAUAUGGCUUUGUAUGAGUUAUAUAUUGUUUAAAAAUUCAGUUUCUGUCAAAAAACAUGAAUGGAUGUUUUUUUUAUAUAUAUUUUUUUAUUUUUAUAAGUAAAUGGCUCCCCUUAUAAAAGUUUCCCAUAGUAAAGUGUAAUAAAGCAUUGUAACAGAGAGGCAUGCUAAAGCAUUUGUUUUUUUAAUUUAUUAUUAUUUAUUUCUUAGCAGACGCCCUUAUCCAGGGCGACUUAAAAUUGUUACAAGAUAUCACAUUAUUAUUUUUUACACAUUAUUUUUACAUACAGUUACCCAUUUAUACAGUUGGGUUUUUACUGGAGCAAUCUGGGUAAAGUACCUUGCUCAAGGGCACAGCAGCAGUGUCCCCAUCUGGGAUUGAACCCACGACCCUCCGGUCAAGAGUCCAGAGACCUAACCACUAAAUGGUAAACUUGGGUAAGCUACGGUAAAUGCAUAAUAUAACCAUGGGAAACGCACAGUAAAUGCGCAAAAAUACCAUGGUGAACUUUUGUAAGGGUCAUUAAGCUCCACAAUAUGGACAUUCAAGAGUUUUUGGCAAAAACAAGUCAUUAGUGCAAAAACAAAUGUUGUGUUGUAACCUGUUUAUUGAACACAGAAACAAUGAAGCUCCACAGUCCAGCUCAACAUGUGCCCCUUGGUUGUUUGUCUUGCGUGGGUCUUUAGGAAGUCCGUGGUCACCGAUAUGACGCCUCCUGCCAGACAGGUUUUCCAGCUCUGGGUAAUGUGAUAACCACAACUACAUUAUGUCGUGUUCUGUUUGGCUUCGAGGGACUGUGUGUGGGAUUGCUGUUGCAUGACACUAGCUUGUUUUUUUUUUUCUCUCUUUUUCUUUUUUUUGACAGAAUAGUGAAUUGUAAACACAUUAGUUCUUCCCUGCCCUGAUUUCAAGAGAGAAGACUCUUUUUUUAUUUUUAAAUAGCAGUACCUGACCUGGGGUCACAGUUAAUUGAUUCAGAGAGCCUUGUCUAGCUUGGGCCUCUUAAAGUCCGGUCUUCGCAUUCCAUCCAGUGUUCCGUGUGGCAGCUCAGCUUAUUAGGAGCGAGAGAGGGGAGGAAGUUUCAGCUCUGAUUAUGCAGAGUUUCCUUUCUUUCCCCCCUCCCACUUUCAUCCCGUCGUUUCCAUGAACUGGAAGACUUUAAAUGUACGCUUGGCCUCCAGGUAGAGUAGGCAUGCUUCUUUGACAUGAGGAUCUUUCUGAAAGCCCGGUGUUUUCAGGAUAACUCUUGCGGUUGUUUAUGCACGGAGCUAAAGGGAGAUUAGUGACCCUGAUCUGAGUUCAGCACACUGGAAGUGCACAGCUGCACAGUGCAGGGGCCGGGGCUGAGACUGACAGGCAUUGAGGCAGCUCUCUCUGGAGGGGCCUCAGCCAGGCAGUCCUCAGUCUCUUGGUGCUUUGGACAGACAGCUGUGACCAAAAACUUAAAAAUGGAACAGAUCACAAAAAAAGGAACCUUGCAAUUCUUUAAGGCACUUACGGUACAUCACUUGGAUUUUCACAUGCGAUCAGAAAGCUUGCCCAACAUGAUGAAUAAUUGCUACUACAUGAAGGACAACACUGAAAAAUUGACUGGAUUCACCUGACCCUUGUAUGUGAAGAAAAUCAGGAGGAGAGUGCUGGAGAAAGUGAGAGAAUACCCCUGAUCCCUCACAUCCCCGAUGAGGUGCAGCAGAGUUUUCUGGGACCGUACAUUUUCAAAGUGAAAAAGGUAAAGAGUGAUAUUCAAAGUUAGCAUUAUUUGUAUAAGACUUCAUUUGGAACGCCUCCCUCAUGAGGCAGUAUAGUUUCUACCCAUACAUACAAGUUAUGGACACACACUUAACUUCAUAACGUAUUGUUCAGGAUUUUACAUUAUGAUCCAGCACUUUGCAAUCACCCUGCAUACUGCAUCCAGAUGUUUUCAAAUCAGCUGCCUAGUACGUGUGCUCAAUGCAUCUUACUUUAACAAGGUCUGUGUCUGUAUACAAGCCAGCAGUAAUGUUAGCCCUGGAUGGAAAGCUUCUCACUAUAAUCUCUAUGCAUGUGCUGUACUCUGUGCUGUAUCUUUUGUACAGCUUUAUUAUUUUUAGCCCCCAUGUACCGUUGUUAAAUAUUCUUUUGCCUUCUUCCUUACAAUAAAGACACGCUGCGAUGCAGGAGACACGUUUCUUUCUCUUUCUUUCUUGAGCCCCGACUUGUUUGUUUCUGAUUUGGUCACUUUGUUGGGUGUGUUUUUGCUUUCUGAAAAAUAAAAAAAAGCGUGCUAAUGAAGAUUUGGAUGAAAUUGCUUUGAGAAUCUAGCCCUUAUGGCUGGGCUUUUAGUAGAACAACAGCUCCUGUCUGUCUUUUACAAUGUACAGUAGAACAGCUCCUGUCUGUCUUUUACAAUGUACAGUAGAAUAGCUCCUGUCUGUCUUUUACAAUGUACAGUAGAACAGCUCCUGUCUGUGUUUCUUAAACUGCAUCGUUUUCUUUCUUGUGUAUUAUUCUCUGGCCCUCCACUUCCAAAGCCCCUACAUUUCUUUUUUGCAAAUCCAAACCCUAACCCUAAACCAAACCCUUUUCUUUUUCUUUUUAAAAACAAAAGGAAAUCUUUUUUUAAAUAGACUGAACUAUAUUAACUCCAAUGCAAUGCAACACACUUCAUGAUUUGUAAAACGGAUACGUACCAGUUAAGAGAUAUGGGGCCGGGUUUUUUCCUCUUGUGAGAUGUAAAUCUAAUGACUUGGCUUUGCUUCAUUUGUGAGUAAUACAGUGUUUGGUAAUACAGUGUUUAGUAAUACAGUGUUUAGUAAUACAGUGUUUAGUAAAUGUAUUGUCCAGUUUUACAGCUUUCCUACCUCGCAAGACACUGAAACAGCCAGCUGACAUGCAGGGACCCACCCACAGGAAGUGACAUUGGCUAAAAGAAAACAUUAAGAACCAUAAAACACAAGGCUGUGCCGCGGCUUUCAAACUGGCGUCCAUGGAAUCUACUCCAGCCAUUCCCACCUGCAGAGAGGACCCAGCCCUGUUUGUAUUUUUUUUAUAAAUGUUUACCACAGUAAAAACACAGCAAAGUGUAAUAAAGCAUUGUGCAAGCAUGGUAACGCGUAGGGUAAGUAUAGUAAAGAAUAGCGAGGUAUGGUAAAGCACAUUAAGAGACAUGGCAAACCAGGGUAGUCUAUGGUAACUGCAGAGUAUAAGAAUGGGGAAAAGCAUGGGAAAACUGCAAGCAUACAGCACACAAAAGACAGAACUCCCACAGCGACCCUCUCCUGAGUGGAGGAGACACACAUGGAGCCCAGUGCAGCGUUCUCUGCUCUGCAGCAUUCCAAUCUCUGUGAUUGGCUUUCAGCCUUGCUGGGACUGUUUCAGCUGUCUGGAUGGGUUUCAUUGCUGUCCAUGUAUACUGCUGCCCUGUAUGUGUAUUGUUAUUCCAGUUUCAUGUUUGUACACGUGUGAAAUGUGUGUCACGUGACUAGAACUGAUAGGGAAGAAAGCAGUGUUGGUGUUAAAGAAGUCGAAACCUAUUUUCCAUUGCUGCAUGAUUACACGUAUAUAUAUACACACACACACACACACACACUGUGUAUAUAAUCUGCAACGCUUACAUAAAAUGUAUAGAGCAAACCCACAGAUAAUUGCAUACUGUGGACUAUUCUUAAAAUGCACAGGAGGAUCAAAUGAAGACCAGAUGAAGAGAGCAUGUCCAAGGUAAGAAAGAAAAGCUGUCAGUUUCUCUAGUUGGAGACGCAUGUACAGUGUUGUUUGUUCCCCUGUUUUCUGUUGUCAGGGGAGAGCGAGCCUCUCUUCCAGUGGGAGAGGAAUUCAGCUGCUGCAGAUAUAAUCCAUCUCCCUGUCACACGCACAGCGUUAUUGGGAGACCACCAGACACAGUCUGAUUGCUGCAGAUUGUACCAGAAUACUAAUACGCUCCCGCUGGCUUCCUCCUGAACGCUAACAAAAAAACAUUACCAGAAACAAGCUGCUUUUUGUAGACUUGGAAAUCAAAACACAGAUGUGGAGGAGAAGAGGAUUUAGGAUUGCAGACCAUUUGAAAUGAAACAUCAAUGCCACUCCCCUCAUGUGUCAGAGUAAACAAAGCUCCCUUCAUUUCAGUAUAUAACACAUUGCAGUGCAGUCUGGGGUCUGUAUGGACGGGACAAGGGGACGAUCACCUAACCCUAACCCCCCCCCCCGUGUGUCAGAGUAAACAAAGCACAUUGCAGUGCAGUCUGGGAUUAUGAUAUUCCAAUAACAAUAACACAGACUGUACAGCUCAUAACCUGUUCAUGAUAUUCUAAUAAUAAUAAACUGUACAGCUCAUAACCUGUU